AGGGGUAUAGUUCUUCGGAAUUAGAGACCGGCGCACGGGUGCGUAACGCGUAUGCAAUCUACCUUUCACAGAGGGAUAGCCCAGAGAAAUUUGGAUUAAUACCUCAUAGUAUAUAGACCUGGCAUCGGGAUUAUAUUAAAGUCACAACGGUGAAAGAUGAGCAUGCGUCCCAUUAGCUAGUUGGUAAGGUAACGGCUUACCAAGGCUACGAUGGGUAGGGGUCCUGAGAGGGAGAUCCCCCACACUGGUACUGAGACACGGACCAGACUCCUACGGGAGGCAGCAGUGAGGAAUAUUGGACAAUGGGCGCAAGCCUGAUCCAGCCAUGCCGCGUGCAGGAUGACGGUCCUAUGGAUUGUAAACUGCUUUUGCACAGGAAGAAACAACGCUACGUGUAGCGUCUUGACGGUACUGUGAGAAUAAGGAUCGGCUAACUCCGUGCCAGCAGCCGCGGUAAUACGGAGGAUCCAAGCGUUAUCCGGAAUCAUUGGGUUUAAAGGGUCCGUAGGCGGUUUAGUAAGUCAGUGGUGAAAGCCCAUCGCUCAACGGUGGAACGGCCAUUGAUACUGCUAGACUUGAAUUAUUAGGAAGUAACUAGAAUAUGUAGUGUAGCGGUGAAAUGCUUAGAGAUUACAUAGAAUACCAAUUGCGAAGGCAGGUUACUACUAAUGGAUUGACGCUGAUGGACGAAAGCGGGGGUAGCGAACAGGAUUAGAUACCCUGGUAGUCCACGCCGUAAACGAUGGAUACUAGCUGUUGGAAGCAAUUUCAGUGGCUAAGCGAAAGUGAUAAGUAUCCCACCUGGGGAGU
rnacentral:rRNA from 1 species